ensembl:snRNA U1 U1 spliceosomal RNA
AUACUUACCUGGCAGGGGAGAUACCAUGAUCACGAAGGUGGUUUUCCCAGGGCGAGGCUUAUCCAUUG